rnacentral:rRNA from 1 species
CACUGACAUUAGAUACCCGUGUAGUCCAGGGUGUAAACGCUGCAGACUUGGUGUUGGGGGCCCUUUGGGGCAUUCAGUGCCGGAGAGAAGUUGUUAAGUCUGCUACUUGGGAGUACGUCCGCAAGGAUGAAACUUAAAGGAAUUGGCGGGGGAGCACCGCAACGGGAGGAGCGUGCGGUUUAAUUGGAUUCAACACCGUAAAACUCACCAGGGAAGACUGUUACAUGAAGGCCGAGAUGAAGACUCUGCUAGAUUUUCAG